CUCACACUACGUGUAUACCCUAUCAGUAAUUAGACUGUUUUAUACUCACACUACGUGUAUACCCUAUCAGUAAUUAGACUGUUUUAUACUCACGUGCCCGUGUUGUAAGUAAUAGGAAUAGGAAUGUUUUAAUUCUCACACUACGUGCACGUGUUAUCAGUUAUAAGACUGUUUUUAUUCUCACAGACCGUCUACCUGUUGUGUGGAUCCCUGCUGUUCAUAAGACUUUCCUCCCUCCCCGUUAUAAAACCAAGAAGAGCUGACUGCAGGUAUCUUGAACAUGGAUCGAAGCCUUAUUUCAUUGGAAGUACACACUUAAUAUGUCUCAUGUAAAAUGCAGGUAUCGAGUUAGCUAAAGAUUUAAUUACAUCUGGGAGAAGAAAGAGAGCUCUUCAGGUUCAGGAGAUAGAUAUGUCACAUUCCUAUCUGUAUUAUGACGGAGUGUUAUUAGAAUUCGGAGUAAAUGGAACAAGAAUAGAACCAGAGGGUCUACCAAUGUUCUCUCAGAGUUGUCCCUCUGCUUAUCUCCCUUUGCCGGCCGGGUUUUCUUAUUUAUCUGUGGACUGUGUUGUGAAAUGUGCUAUGAAUUAUCAUCUGCGGUUUGGAAAUUACAAACUCUUCACAAACAACUGUAACACAUUUACAAACAGACUGUCGGAUAUUCUCUGUCAUGAAAUCCACUGUCCGUCCUGGUGUUAGAAACAUUAAGAGACAGAGAGUUCCUUGUUAGGUAUCCGUGCUGAAUCAGGGAAAUAAGAGAUACAUGUAAAUAGUAUAUCGUCUAUAGUAAACUCAUGUGAUGUAUAUACAUACUGUACAUAUUAUCUAUGUUUUAUUUGGUAGAAAUAGUUUGGUCAAUCUAUAUAAUUAUUUUUUCUCGUGUACUGAAAUUAAACAGUAGUCUGGGCAUGUCUUGAUGGUGAUCGCUUUUUAUCUGUCACACGUGAUGAAAGGAAUGUACAUGAUAAGUGUUCUAUUUGCCCAUCAAAUUUGUUUCAACAUUAAGAUGACGGUUUGCCGCCAUUUUCAGUAGUUUGACAUGAAAUUGUUAUUUUCGUGCAGUUGUCCUUUUAGAAACAUUAAACGCAAGCCUGGAUAAACUUUGUAUUUAAUCUAUUUAUACCAUAGCCUUUUCUCUCCAAUACAUGAAUUUGAUUGUUUAAAGCUCCGUUCUAUGUUUUCUAUACAUGAAAAUGUUCAUGAAAAUAAGUAUUCUGAUUAAAUGUUAAUUUCUUUUAAAUGCCUCUCUUUCAAUGCUAUGUACUUCGAUCAAAGACAGAUCAUAGCUCUGUGCUGUUUGACAUCUUUCUUUGAAGUAAAAUGUUUCGUCUUUCAUUAAAGUGUUAGAAGUUUGACGUGGAUCAUAACAUUAUCCUGUCCAGAUUUUGUGCUAUCUCUGUUCUACAUGACAUUUAGGAGAUUGAUCACCGUUCGUUAUCUUAACCUUUUUCAUAGCACUGAUUACAUAUUUAGAACAAUAUAAUUGACUGCGGGUCUGAAACCUGACUUCACAUAAAAAUGUUUGAAAUAGUCGCCAAGGACAGGAAAGAGGGAAUUUUUUGAUAUCGAUUUCAUUGAAAUUGUUGAUUCUUUGAUAUAUCGAUAUCCGAUCAAAAUAUAUAACAAGAACACCUAUUGAUACAAGCGUCGAAUUCGGCCUCAUCUACUUUGUAACUAUCAAAACAAUGUAAAGUGAAAAUAGAAGAUAACGAACAGUGAUCAAUCUCAUAAAUACAUGUACCAUAAAGAAUACGAAAUUGAGAGUAGGGCAAACACGCCCCCUAGAAAUAUCAGAGGAGGAAGCUUCCCCUGUUAACUGGCAAAUUACACAACGAAAGCCAAUAAAUCCUUCAUGUCUUAAAUUGAAGCUUAUUUUUCUCUGCAUUAGUCUUUCACAUUUUAGAUAAAGUCUUGCUUUAGAUAAUAUUCCACUGUUUUCAGUAGCUUCAAUUUCUAAAGACAUAAAAAAAUACUUACAUGUAAAAUGUAUUUAUUAAUAUAUAUUUAUAAAAUACCAAUUUCAAGUUUUAAUGAAUAUAUAUAUAUAUAUAUAUAUAUAUAUAUAUAUAUAUAUAUAUAUAUAUAUUAAAAAGUAACUUAUCUAUACUUGGAAAUUAACAAAUUUUGCCAAUAAACCCCGAAACCCUUGCUCCAGAGUUAUUACUUGCACUUUUAAUAUUGUUUCACAUGUGAGGUGAAAUCCGGAAGCUAUUGUAUAAUCUUACUUCAUUGGUAAAUAUCGUAAAAUUGAUUAAAAAUCUUUCAUUUUCGAUAAAGUACCCUGGAAUAGGAAAAAUGAGAAAAAAAAUGAGAAAAAAGUGGCAGAUGUAAGCCAGUUUUUUAAAAAAAAAAUGAAAACUUAAGACAAUACGAUGUGAAGUAAAUCUGUUGUUUAUCGAUGCUUGAUUUUGAUCUUACAGUAGAAAUAAGUUUUGAUAGUUGUUGAAUAAAUAAAAUAUGCCUG